rnacentral:rRNA from 1 species
GAUGAACGCUGGCGGCGUGCCUAAUACAUGCAAGUCGAGCGAACAGACGAGGAGCUUGCUCCUCUGACGUUAGCGGCGGACGGGUGAGUAACACGUGGAUAACCUACCUAUAAGACUGGGAUAACUUCGGGAAACCGGAGCUAAUACCGGAUAAUAUAUUGAACCGCAUGGUUCAAUAGUGAAAGACGGUUUUGCUGUCACUUAUAGAUGGAUCCGCGCCGCAUUAGCUAGUUGGUAAGGUAACGGCUUACCAAGGCAACGAUGCGUAGCCGACCUGAGAGAGUGAUCGGCCACACUGGAACUGAGACACGGUCCAGACUCCUACGGGAGGCAGCAGUAGGGAAUCUUCCGCAAUGGGCGAAAGCCUGACGGAGCAACGCCGCGUGAGUGAUGAAGGUCUUCGGAUCGGAAAACUCUGUUAUUAGGGAAGAACAAAUGUGUAAGUAACUAUGCACGUCUUGACGGUACCUAAUCAGAAAGCCACGGCUAACUACGUG